rnacentral:rRNA from 1 species
UACGGAAGGCAGCAGUGGGGAAUAUUGCACAAUGGGCGCAAGCCUGAUGCAGCCAUGCCGCGUGUAUGAAAAAGGCCUUCGGGUUGUAAAGUACUUUCAGUCGUGAGGAAGGUGUUAAGGUUAAUAACCUUAGCAAUUGACGUUAGCGACAGAAGAAGCACCGGCUAACUCCGUGCCAGCAGCCGCGGUAAUACGGAGGGUGCGAGCGUUAAUCGGAAUUACUGGGCGUAAAGGGCACGCAGGCGGUUAAUUAAGUUGGAUGUGAAAUCCCCGGGCUUAACCUGGGAAUGGCAUUCAAGACUGGUUAGCUAGAGUCUUGUAGAGGGGGUAGAAUUCCAUGUGUAGCGGUGAAAUGCGUAGAGAUGUGGAGGAAUACCGGUGGCGAAGACGGCCCCUGGACAAAGACUGACGCUCAUGUGCGAAAGCGUGGGGAGCAAACAGGGAUUAGAUACC